rnacentral:rRNA from 1 species
AGUAAGUCGUCAUGGCGCAUACGAGGUGGGCUACACGCGUCCUACAAUAAGACAAAUAAUAAAAAAUUGUCUAGUGUACAGAUUGAGUUAUAUAUUAAGUCUAUCUUAACGUUAAUUCUGAAAAAGUGCUCAUGAAGGAGGAAUAGCGAGUAAUCGGGAAUUAGAACGUUCCGGUGAAGUUAUACAAUACAUCCCGAAAGGUUAGUCUUAUAGAUUAAACUUUUGGGAGUAGCGUAUACCCUUUUAUAUAUAUAAAUUUCUUAAUAGGAAUUAGGUAUUUAUAUAGCUAUAUUUAAUAAUAUAGUAGGGAUAAAUGUAUAUGGUGUACACAUUGCCCGUCACUGCCGGAAAUUUGAUGAGUCUUUAAGACAGAUUUAUAUUAGUUUUGUAUAAAUGGGUCCAUGGAAGCAUCGGAGAUUUGGUAAAAGUCGUAACAGGUUGGGGUAGAGGAAUCUGUUCCAGAGAUAAUAUAAA